AUUCCUUGAAUGUUAUCUGGAGGAAAUACUCUGUGGCUGAGUGAUAAAAAGAAAAAAAAAAAAAAAAAAUCUGUUCUUAUCAGUUUAAUAUCUGAUACGUCCCCUAUCUGGGGACCAUAUAUUAAAUGGAUUUUUGGGACAGGGAGAUGGAAGAAGAGCUUGCUCUGUCCACUCCACGCAUUGACCUGGUAUUGCAGUACCUCCAGGACCGGUGCACCUCUC
rnacentral:snRNA from 1 species